rnacentral:rRNA from 1 species
GAUGAACGCUGGCGGCGUGCCUAAUACAUGCAAGUCGAGCGAACGGACGAGAAGCUUGCUUCUCUGAUGUUAGCGGCGGACGGGUGAGUAACACGUGGAUAACCUACCUAUAAGACUGGGAUAACUUCGGGAAACCGGAGCUAAUACCGGAUGAUAUUUUGAACCGCAUGGUUCAAAAGUGAAAGACGGUCUUGCUGUCACUUAUAGAUGGAUCCGCGCUGCAUUAGCUAGUUGGUAAGGUAACGGCUUACCAAGGAAACGAUGCAUAGCCGACCUGAGAGGGUGAUCGGCCACACUGGAACUGAGACACGGUCCAGACUCCUACGGGAGGCAGCAGUAGGGAAUCUUCCGCAAUGGGCGAAAGCCUGACGGGGCAACGCCGCGUGAGUGAUGAAGGUCUUCGGAUCGUAAAACUCUGUUAUUAGGGAAGAACAUAUGUGUAAGUAACUGUGCACAUCUUGACGGUACCUAAUCAGAAAGCCACGGCUAACUACGUG